GAUGAUGCUAGCAACCACAUUGACAUUCCAGUAGAUUAGUGGUAGGUCAAAGAGGCUAGCAGAAACUUUGAAUCGAAGCUGGUGGGGAAUGCCAUUGAUGGUCUGGUCCCAAUGGUCCACAAGAAGUGUGAAACCAUCUCCCCUAAUGUGCCCCAUGGAUGCUAGAUUUUGGACAACCUCAAAGGAAGGACAUGCAACAAAGAACGUGUGAUCCUUAGGAAGUUUUUUGACAAACCAGGAACUAAAAACUCAUGCUUUACGAG
rnacentral:lncRNA from 1 species